GCGACUAUGGCUGAGUGGUUAAAGCGAUGGACUAGAAAUCCAUUCUCCAUUGGAGGCGUAGGUUCGAAUCCUACUGGUCGCG